GGACGCGCCCGCUUCUCGCUGGAGUGCGCACCGAGCGGCAGUGACUUCGCCGCUGCUGUAGUUCCCCGGCUGGAUGCGGUGACUGGUGCCAGUGCUCAGGCGCCCGCUGCCCUUGACCUCCCGCCCCGCGAGCCCUAACUCAGCGCAGGAGGACCGGCUGCCGCCGCCGCCGCCGCCAGAGCCUUGGCUGCCCAGUUGCCAGUCCUACCACGGUCGGAGGUAACCUUCCUGGCUCCAGUCACAUGGCCAGAUAAGGUGGUGUGUGUGGGCAUGAAUUAUGUGGACCACUGCAAAGAACAGAACGUGCCCGUGCCCAAGGAGCCCAUCAUCUUCAGCAAGUUUGCCAGCUCCAUCGUGGGGCCCUAUGAUGAGGUGGUCCUCCCACCACAGAGCCAGGAGGUAGAUUGGGAAGUGGAGCUGGCCGUGGUCAUUGGAAAGAAAGGCAAGCACAUCAAGGUGAAGUGGAAAAGAUCCACACAACUUAAAGAUCUGCUGUCGAGUGAAUGGGGAAGUGGUCCAGAGCAGCAACACCAACCAGAUGGUAUUCAAGACAGAGGACCUGAUAGCCUGGGUGUCCCAGUUUGUUACCUUUUACCCAGGGGAUGUCAUCCUGACUGGGACCCCCCCACCUCCACCCAGGUGUCGGUGUAUUCAGGAAACCUCCUGUCUUUCUCAAGGUCUCUGAAGGUCCAGACAGCACUGAUGGCGAGCUUUGGGUCCGCACACUCUGGAAAGAAGAGAGAAGUGAAGGCUCUAGGGGGCAGCAGCCACCAGCAAACACCACUGCCUGCAGGAGCCUGGGCUGACUGGUUGGGACUCACCGAAGAUCCCUUCUUCCUGGGCGGUGGCCUGCAGGAACUGGAACAGCUGCUCUGUGUAGCCCAACUCUGCAGAAGAGAGAAGACCUAGACCUGGCACCCAGCACAGACACAGCCUGCCUCGAGGACUGCAAGGGAACAAGGGCCUCACCAGUAUCGGGCAGCUGGCCCUGGCGGAGGAAGGCGGCAGCCUGUGCAAAGGCCUUGAGCAGCGGGCUGAGCAGGCGGCAGAGGAAAAGAAAGAAAUCUGGGCAGUGUGACUGCUGGCUGAGCUGGAGGGGACAGGCCGGGGUGAGUGCAGCUCCCCACCGCCUCCCUACCACCUCCCUCCAGGGGCAGCUUUUUGAAACACACCCUGAAGUACCGGCCGUCAGCCUCUCCGAAGUCAUCACUGUCACUAUCAGUAAAGUCCCCACUCGGUUUCCACAGCA
rnacentral:lncRNA from 1 species